rnacentral:rRNA from 1 species
UGAGGAAUAUUGGCCAAUGCCCGCAAGGGUGACCCAGCAACGCCGCGUGGAGGAUGAAUGUCGUAAGAUUGUAAACUCCUGUUAGAGGGGAAGAAUAGUACCGGUUGGACCGGUAUAUGACUGUACCCUCAGAGAAAGCCCCGGCUAACUACGUGCCAGCAGCCGCGGUAAUACGUAGGGGGCAAGCGUUGUCCGGAUUUACUGGGCGUAAAGGGCGCGCAGGCGGGAUAAAAAGUCAGUGGUGAAAUCCUACAGCGUAACUGUAGAACUGCCUUGGAUACUUUUAUUCUUGAGUUCGGGAGAGAGAGACGGAAUUCCGGGUGUAGUGGUGAAAUACGUAGAUAUCUGGAAGAACACCAGUUGCGAAGGCGGUCUCUUGGUCCGACACUGACGCUGAGGCGCGAAAGCGUGGGGAGCAAACA